AAAUUCGCCUUCAUGAAGCUGGAAUUGCUAGUAAUGGCAGGUCAGCAUACUGCCGUGAAUACGUUCCCGGGCCUUGUACACACCGCCCGUCACACCAUGAGAGUUGAAUACCCGAAGCCUGUGAGCUAACUGUAAAGAGGCAGCAGUCGAAGGUAGAGCCAAUGAUUGGGGUGAAGUCGUAACAAGGUAAC
rnacentral:rRNA from 1 species